rnacentral:rRNA from 1 species
UUUCCUACGGGAGGCAGCAGUGGGGAAUAUCGCACAAUGGGGGAAACCCUGAUGCAGCGACGCCGCGUGAGUGGAGAAGUAAUUCGUUACGUAAAGCUCUAUCAGCAGGGAAGAAAAUGACGGUACCUGAGUAAGAAGCCCCGGCUAACUACGUGCCAGCAGCCGCGGUAAUACGUAGGGGGCAAGCGUUAUCCGGAUUUACUGGGUGUAAAGGGAGCGUAGACGGUGCGCCAAGUCUGGAGUGAAAUGCCGCAGCUUAACU